rnacentral:rRNA from 1 species
UACGUAGGGUGCGAGCGUUAAUCGGAAUUACUGGGCGUAAAGCGUGCGCAGGCGGUUCUAUAAGACAGAUGUGAAAUCCCCGGGCUCAACCUGGGACCUGCAUUUGUGACUGUAUAGCUAGAGUACGGUAGAGGGGGAUGGAAUUCCGCGUGUAGCAGUGAAAUGCGUAGAUAUGCGGAGGAACACCGAUGGCGAAGGCAAUCCCCUGGACCUGUACUGACGCUCAUGCACGAAAGCGUGGGGAGCAAACAGG